AGCAGCCGCGGUAAUUCCAGCUCCAAUAGCGUAUAUUAAAGUUGUUGCAGUUAAAAAGCUCGUAGUUGAAUUUCGGGAUCAAUACGUCCGUCGUACCUCGGUACGUACUAACGUUAUUGAUUUCUCCCUUCUGACGAACCGUGAUGUCAUUAAUUUGGUGUUACGGGGAGUUAGGACUGUUACUUUGAAAAAUUAGAGUGUUUAAAGCAAGCAAUCGCUCGAAUACAUUAGCAUGGAAUAAUGAAAUAGGACGUUCGAACCUAUUUUGUUGGUUUUUAGGAUCGACGUAAUGAUUAAUAGGGAUAGUUGGGGGCAUUAGUAUUCAAUUGUCAGAGGUGAAAUUCUUGGAUUUAUUGAAGACUAACUACUGCGAAAGCAUUUGCCAAGGAUGUUUUUCAUUAAUCAAGAACGAAAGUUAGGGGAUCGAAGACGAUCAGAUACCGUCGUAGUCUUAACCAUAAACUAUGCCGACUAGGGAUCGGAUGAUGUUAAUUUUUAAUGACUCAUUCGGCGCCUUACG
rnacentral:rRNA from 1 species